rnacentral:sRNA from 1 species
GACGGAGCAGAGCGUGCUCCUUUGAUUUCGGCACGAGAAAGCCGGUACAAAGAUAGUUAUUAUCAAGAUUUGUCUGGAAAUCCAGACAACCAGUCGAAGUAUCAUGUGAUGUUUCGGCUCUAUACACAAAAGGGGUUUUACCCCGCACAAAGGAGUAGUACAAGAUGGCUCAAGGUACAGUAAAGUGGUUUAACGAUUCAAAAGGUUUUGGUUUUAUUGAACAAGAUGGCGGCAAGGAUGUAUUCGUACAUCACUCCGCGAUUCAGGCCCAGGGUUUCAAAUCCCUGACUGAAGGCGCGCGGGUCACCUUCGAGGUCGUUGACGGCCCCAAAGGUCCUGCAGCGGCCAAUGUUGUUCAGGACUAAGAAUCCCGACAGAGCCCACUAAAAAAGACCCCGCAUUAUUGCGGGGUCUUUUUU